rnacentral:rRNA from 1 species
UCGGGAAUUUUGGGCAAUGGGCGAAAGCCUGACCCAGCAACGCCGCGUGAAGGAUGAAGUAUUUCGGUAUGUAAACUUCGAAAGAAUAGGAAGAAUAAAUGACGGUACUAUUUAUAAGGUCCGGCUAACUACGUGCCAGCAGCCGCGGUAAUACGUAGGGACCAAGCGUUGUUCGGAUUUACUGGGCGUAAAGGGCGCGUAGGCGGCAAUUCAAGUCAUCUGUGAAAUCUCCGGGCUUAACUCGGAACGGUCAGAUGAUACUGCUUUGCUAGAGUGCAGAAGGGGCAAUCGGAAUUCUUGGUGUAGCGGUGAAAUGCGUAGAUAUCAAGAGGAACACCCGAGGUGAAGACGGGUUGCUGGGCUGACACUGACGCUGAGGCGCGAAAGCCAGGGGAGCAAACGGGAUUAGAUACCCAAGUAGUCCCUGAGCGGGCUGGCAAGGCGCAU